GGAUGCUAUCAGAGGGCUGUGCUGAUGGAGACACUAGAUUCCAAAUUAGGGUGUGAUACAGUGCCAACCGAGAAGAGAAACUACAGUGUCAAAUUCCACGCCCCCCACCCCAAAGGCAUGCAAGGGUCAGAAAACAAGGUAAACUCUUGGAGUAGGAAUGCAAAAAGGAGAGGAGGAAAGGGGCACACGGUGGGAUGGAAAAAUUUAGGGGAGGCUUAACCACAAGGAGAGGAUAACUAAGGAAAGAAAAAGCAGUGGAGCAGGGAGGGAAGGUGUUUCCGGAGGAAAAGUAGGAGCAGAACAGAGGUCCUGCCUUCUUGGUCUGGAGGGCAGAAGGGGCAGUUCAUGGGGGGUGGGGGGAGGCGGGGGCUGGGAAGUGGUGGAGAACGAGAAACUGCGAUGCUGAAUAUGAGAACCUGGAGAGGACAAGACCCAUGGUUGUUUUGACUGAAGGACAAGUCAAAAAAUUCCACCUCCAAAAAACGCCCUGCAAGGGAGUUCCAGCACAGAAUGGAAUCAACCACAACACCCACUUACCUUUCCCCCUGAAGGUGACCCUCACCUUCCUUCUUUCGUCAUGUGUCCUCUUUCGUCAUGUGUCCUCUUUCAAUACCGCUGGCUCUCCCCCUAUCCACGCCAAGAGCCUUUGGGACCAGGGGACAGAGAGGGAGAGUCAAAGCCAGAGAGAAGCGCAGGCAAAGAGCACCAGCUGAUACUGCAGCUCUGGAAAAGGCUGUUUACUGACAACACAUGCGUACUUAUAGGUACUGAUCCCUCCGAUGUUUGCAGAUGAGGCAAAGCUGUGAGCAGCUGUGCAGAGAAGUGGCAGCCGUGUGUCCAACCUCAACACCCAUUCAUGGAGGGCCAGGUCAUGCCACCUGAAGCUACCAAAGCCCCAUACCAUUUCCAGUGCCCAGAGUGAGCAAGAGGCCUAACCGAUCCCAUUAUAUAACCUUAAAAUCAGAGCUAAUAUGUUCACAUUUCAGCUACUCACUUCAGACAGUCUUUUCUG